rnacentral:rRNA from 1 species
GGGCCCGCACAAGCGGUGGAGCAUGUGGUUUAAUUCGAUGAUACGCGAGGAACCUUACCAGGACUUAAAUGUAAGUUGCAUGAUUCAGAAAUGAAUCUUUCUUCGGACUACUUACAAGGUGCUGCAUGGUUGUCGUCAGCUCGUGCCGUGAGGUGUCAGGUUAAGUCCUAUAACGAGCGCAACCCCCUAUCGUUAGUUGCCAUCAAGUAAAGUUGGGAACUCUAGCGAAACUGCCGGUGCAAACCGAGAGGAAGGUGGGGAUGACGUCAAAUCAUCACGGCCCUUACGUUCUGGGCUACACACGUGCUACAAUGGUCGGUACAGAGGGCAGCUACACAGCGAUGUGAUGCGAAUCUCAAAAGCCAUAUCGUAG